CCGUGCUAAGCGGGGAGGUAGCGGUGCCCUGUACUCGCAAUCCGCUCGAGCGAGGCCGAAUCCCUUUCUCGAGGUUCGUUUACUUUAAGGUCUGCCUUAAGCAAGUGGUGUUGACGCUUGGGUCCUGCGCAAUGGGAAUCCAUGAACCAUGUCAGGUCCGGAAGGAAGCAGCAUUAAGUGGAACCUUCCAUGUGCCGCAGGGUUGCCUGGGCU
rnacentral:SRP_RNA from 1 species